rnacentral:rRNA from 1 species
AAAUUGAAGAGUUUGAUCAUAGCUCAGAUUGAACGCUGGCGGCAGGCCUAACACAUGCAAGUCGAACGGUAACAGGAAGCAGCUUGCUGCUUUGCUGACGAGUGGCGGACGGGUGAGUAAUGUCUGGGAAACUGCCCGAUGGAGGGGGAUAACUACUGGAAACGGUAGCUAAUACCGCAUAACGUCGCAAGACCAAAGAGGGGGACCUUAGGGCCUCUUGCCAUCGGAUGUGCCCAGAUGGGAUUAGCUAGUAGGUGGGGUAA